ensembl:lncRNA
GAAAAAUAAUUUUUAAAAAAACAUACUGUGAAUUAUAUCCUCCUAUGAAUAAAAAACACAUCUUUGUUAAGAAUGAAUAUGGAGACUCAUUGCAUCAUUGGAGGAUCAUCAAGGGAAUUGUGUGGGCGUUUUUUCUUCAUCAUCCCACUCCGCUGUGCCAAGAUUGUAUCUCAUACCAACCAUUGUAUAUUUAGUCAUUGCGGGGAUACAGCCAGUGACACAUCUUCCCACUGUUCCACAGACACAGUGGGCCGGGGAGAAGGAUGAUCCAAGGACAGGGUUAAAAAAAAACAGAAGGCCCGGAUCUCUUUGUCUCCCAGUAAUAUUGCCGAGUGGAUUCAAACAGCCCCGUGAAGCUGAGCCGAGCCGGGCCCCGAGCUGUGAUCGCGCCGUGAUAACUACCAGAUGGAUCAAUACAAGUGUUGUAAAGGUAAGGUUGAGGCCGAGGCCCCGCGGCGAUCCCAAGAGGAGGGUCAAGUGUUGAAGAAUUGCCGCACUCAGCCAGUAAACCGCCGUCCUCGUCACGGUGGUUUUCUCUUAGUGGCAGCUUAAGGGUGCAAAUACAACUUGAACCGCAUCAUAAUCAAAACAAGCAUGUUAUACAUCUAUUGGGCUUUUGGGGCUUGUUUAGUCCAUGUGAGUGAAUCGUAAACUAUAGAUAUAUGUACACAGUAGGAACAAUAGUCCAUUAAAAGCUUUGGUAUUCCACAAGUGGCCUUUUAGCUAAUGUGUAAUUUAGGGCGUUUAAGUUUAGGUUAAAACUAUGAGGUAUAGAAUUUGCAAAAAAAAGGAAAGGUAGCAAAACAGAUUGAAAUGAGCUCCCUGCCACCGAUUCAACUGGGGUCUCAUUUUCUACAAACCAAAAUAACCUUUGAUUGAUUUAAAGAAUGUUCCAAUUUCUAAUUUCCACUGACAGUGGCUCGGGGUUAAGAUUUGGGUAAAACGUUGGGACUAUGAUUUUUCCGUCCCACCAGCUAGCUAAUUGCAUUCGCCCGCUGCUCCAGCUGUACCUCACAGCUACCUUCCCAGAACGAAGAGUCCAGGAUCAAGUACCGCAGGGUCAAAGUUCAC